GCUGGCGGCGUGCUUAACACAUGCAAGUCGAACGGAAAGGCCCUGCUUUUGUGGGGUGCUCGAGUGGCGAACGGGUGAGUAACACGUGAGUAACCUGCCCUUGACUUUGGGAUAACUUCAGGAAACUGGGGCUAAUACCGGAUAGGAGCUCCUGCCGCAUGGUGGGGGUUGGAAAGUUUCGGCGGUUGGGGAUGGACUCGCGGCUUAUCAGCUUGUUGGUGGGGUAGUGGCUUACCAAGGCUUUGACGGGUAGCCGGCCUGAGAGGGUGACCGGCCACAUCGGGACUGAGAUACGGCCCAGACUCCUACGGGAGGCAGCAGUGGGGAAUAUUGCACAAUGGGCGGAAGCCUGAUGCAGCAACGCCGCGUGCGGGAUGACGGCCUUCGGGUUGUAAACCGCUUUCGCCUGUGACGAAGCGUGAGUGACGGUAAUGGGUAAAGAAGCACCGGCUAACUACGUGCCAGCAGCCGCGGUGAUACGUAGGGUGCGAGCGUUGUCCGGAUUUAUUGGGCGUAAAGGGCUCGUAGGUGGUUGAUCGCGUCGGAAGUGUAAUCUUGGGGCUUAACCCUGAGCGUGCUUUCGAUACGGGUUGACUUGAGGAAGGUAGGGGAGAAUGGAAUUCCUGGUGGAGCGGUGGAAUGCGCAGAUAUCAGGAGGAACACCAGUGGCGAAGGCGGUUCUCUGGGCCUUUCCUGACGCUGAGGAGCGAAAGCGUGGGGAGCGAACAGGCUUAGAUACCCUGGUAGUCCACGCUGUAAACGGUGGGUACUAGGUGUGGGGUCCAUUCCACGGGUUCCGUGCCGUAGCUAACGCUUUAAGUACCCCGCCUGGGGAGUACGGCCGCAAGGCUAAAACUCAAAGGAAUUGACGGGGCCCCGCACAAGCGGCGGAGCAUGCGGAUUAAUUCGAUGCAACGCGUAGAACCUUACCUGGGUUUGACAUGGAUCGGGAGUGCUCAGAGAUGGGUGUGCCUCUUUUGGGGUCGGUUCACAGGUGGUGCAUGGCUGUCGUCAGCUCGUGUCGUGAGAUGUUGGGUUAAGUCCCGCAACGAGCGCAACCCUUGUUCACUGUUGCCAGCACGUUAUGGUGGGGACUCAGUGGAGACCGCCGGGGUCAACUCGGAGGAAGGUGGGGAUGACGUCAAGUCAUCAUGCCCCUUAUGUCCAGGGCUUCACGCAUGCUACAAUGGCUGGUACAGAGAGUGGCGAGCCUGUGAGGGUGAGCGAAUCUCGGAAAGCCGGUCUCAGUUCGGAUUGGGGUCUGCAACUCGACCUCAUGAAGUCGGAGUCGCUAGUAAUCGCAGAUCAGCAACGCUGCGGUGAAUACGUUCCCGGGGCUUGUACACACCGCCCGUCAAGUCAUGAAAGUUGGUAACACCCGAAGCCGGUGGCCUAACCGUUGUGGGGGAGCCGUCGAAGGUGGGACUGGUGAUUAGGAC
rnacentral:rRNA from 1 species